rnacentral:rRNA from 1 species
AGAGUUUGAUCAUGGCUCAGGAUGAACGCUAGCGGCAGGCCUAAUACACGCAAGUCGGACGGUAAGCGCCCCUUCGGGGGUGCGAGAGUGGCGGACGGGUGCGCAACGCGUAUGCAACCAGCCCUGACAGGCGGACAGCCGGUGGAAACGCCGGAUAAUACGCCAUGCGCCCGCGGGAGGGCAUCCUUCCGUGGGCAAAGCGGAGACGCGGUCGGGGACGGGCAUGCGUCCCAUUAGAUGGUAGGCGGGGUGACGGCCCACCUAGUCGACGAUGGGUAGGGGAUCUGAGAGGACGGUCCCCCACACUGGUACUGAGACACGGACCAGACUCCUGCGGGAGGCAGCAGUAAGGGAUAUUGGGCAAUGGGGGGAACCCUGACCCAGCCCAUGCCGCGUGAGGGAAGUAGGCCCUACGGGUCGUGAACCUCUUUUGUCCGGGGACAAGGAUCCGGUCGGGAACCGGAUUUGAGGGUACCGGAAGAAUAAGCGUCGGCUAACUCCGUGCCAGCAGCGGC